UCGGGGUGCANCAGGCGCGAAACCUCUGCAAUAGGCGAAAGCCUGACAGGGUUACUCUGAGUGAUUCCCGCUAAGGGGAUCUUUUGGCACCUCUAAAAAUGGUGCAGAAUAAGGGGUGGGCAAGUCUGGUGUCAGCCGCCGCGGUAAUACCAGCACCCCGAGUGGUCGGGACGAUUAUUGGGCCUAAAGCAUCCGUAGCCGGUCAUGCAAGUCCUCCGUUAAAUCCACCUGCUUAACAGAUGGGCUGCGGAGGAUACUACAAGGCUAGGAGGCGGAAGAGGCAAGCGGUACUCAGUGGGUAGGGGUAAAAUCCUCUGAUCCAUUGAAGACCACCAGUGGCGAAGGCGGCUUGCCAAUACGCGCUCGACGGUGAGGGAUGAAAGCUGGGGGAGCAAACCGGAUUAGAUACCCGGGUAGUCCCAGCUGUAAACGAUGCAGACUCGGUGAUGGGCCGGCUUUAUGCCGGCUCAGUGCCGCAGGGAAGCCGUUAAGUCUGCCGCCUGGGGAGUACGGUCGCAAGACUGAAACUUAAAGGAAUUGGCGGGGGAGCACCACAAGGGGUGAAGCCUGCGGUUCAAUUGGAGUCAACGCCGGAAAUCUUACCGGGGGCGACAGCAGAGUGAAGGUCAAGCUGAAGACUUUACCAGACAAGCUGAGAGGAGGUGCAUGGCCGUCGCCAGCUCGUGCCGUGAGGUGUCCUGUUAAGUCNNNAACGAGCGAGACCCCCACC
rnacentral:rRNA from 1 species